GCACCAUUAGCUCAAUUGGAUAGAGCGUUGGUCUACGGAACCAAAGGUUAGGCGUUCGAGCCGCUUAUGGUGCGCCA
rnacentral:tRNA from 1 species